rnacentral:rRNA from 1 species
ACUCCUACGGGAGGCAGCAGUAGGGAAUCUUCCGCAAUGGGCGAAAGCCUGACGGAGCAACGCCGCGUGAGUGAUGAAGGUUUUCGGAUCGUAAAGCUCUGUUGCCAGGGAAGAACGUCCGGUAGAGUAACUGCUAUCGGAGUGACGGUACCUGAGAAGAAAGCCCCGGCUAACUACGUGCCAGCAGCCGCGGUAAUACGUAGGGGGCAAGCGUUGUCCGGAAUUAUUGGGCGUAAAGCGCGCGCAGGCGGCUAUUUAAGUCUGGUGUUUAAACCUUGGGCUCAACCUGAGGUCGCACUGGAAACUGGGUGGCUUGAGUACAGAAGAGGAAAGUGGAAUUCCACGUGUAGCGGUGAAAUGCGUAGAUAUGUGGAGGAACACCAGUGGCGAAGGCGACUUUCUGGGCUGUAACUGACGCUGAGGCGCGAAAGCGUGGGGAGCAAACAGGAUUAGAUACCCUGGUAGUCCACGCCGUAAACGAUGAGUGCUAGGUGUUAGGGGUUUCGAUACCCUUGGUGCCGAAGUUAACACAGUAAGCACUCCGCCUGGGGAGUACGGUCGCAAGACUGAAACUCAAAGGAAUUGACGG